CCCUGAUGGUUCAAACAGCAAAGAAUCUGCCUGCAAUGCAGGAGACCCAGGUUUGAUCCCUGGGUCAGGAA
rnacentral:tRNA from 1 species